rnacentral:rRNA from 1 species
UACGUAGGGUCCGAGCGUUGUCCGGAAUUACUGGGCGUAAAGAGCUCGUAGGUGGUUUGUCGCGUUGUUCGUGAAAACUCACAGCUUAACUGUGGGCGUGCGGGCGAUACGGGCAGACUGGAGUACUGCAGGGGAGACUGGAAUUCCUGGUGUAGCGGUGGAAUGCGCAGAUAUCAGGAGGAACACCGAUGGCGAAGGCAGGUCUCUGGGCACUUACUGACGCUGGAGGAGCGAAAGCCGUUGGGGAGCGAAACAGG